rnacentral:rRNA from 1 species
CAGUCGCCGCGGUAAUACGUAGGUGGCAAGCGUUAUCCGGAAUUAUUGGGCGUAAAGCGCGCGUAGGCGGUUUUUUAAGUCUGAUGUGAAAGCCCACGGCUCAACCGUGGAGGGUCAUUGGAAACUGGAAAACUUGAGUGCAGAAGAGGAAAGUGGAAUUCCAUGUGUAGCGGUGAAAUGCGCAGAGAUAUGGAGGAACACCAGUGGCGAAGGCGACUUUCUGGUCUGUAACUGACGCUGAUGUGCGAAAGCGUGGGGAUCAAACAGGAUUAGAUACCCCUGUAGUCCCUGUCUCUUAUAC